rnacentral:rRNA from 1 species
CCUACGGGAGGCAGCAGUGGGGAAUAUUGCACAAUGGGCGAAAGCCUGAUGCAGCAACGCCGCGUGAAGGAAGAAGGGUUUCGGCUCGUAAACUUCUAUCAACACGGACGAAAGAAAUGACGGUACCUGAAUAAGAAGCCCCGGCUAAAUACGUGCCAGCAGCCGCGGUAAUACGUAGGGGGCAAGCGUUAUCCGGAAUUACUGGGUGUAAAGGGUGAGUAGGCGGCAUGGUAAGCCAGAUGUGAAAGCCUUGGGCUUAAACCGAGGAUUGGCUUUGGAACUAUCAAGCUAGAGUAAAGGAGAGGUAAGCGGAAUUUCUGGUGUAGCGGUGAAAUGCGGAGAGAGUAGGAAGAACACCAGUGGCGAAGGCGGCUUACCGG